AACCUAAGGAGACGGGAACUUCUGGGCCCAAGUUGUAAUAGGUUGAAAGAUAGCUUAAAAAAUCCGUUAUUUUUUUCUACUAAAUCAUUUAAAAAAUCAGCUCAAUUCACAAUCUGGAAGAUGAGAAAUGUAAAAAAUAAGAUAAGAUCAAAAAUAAAAUAGGUAAUCGAUAAUUUUAAUCGAUUUGUAUGCAUAUCAAUUUUAUAUAAAAAUAUAGAAGAGGCUAAUGGGGAUAUAAAUAUAGUAACAAUAUUAAAAACUAUUUAGUUCAAUUAAAUUAAUCUACUGUGAAUCAAGAGAUAUAAGUAAUAAAUAGAAAUCUAAAAAUCGAUUCUCAUUUACAAAAUCGUUUCACGAGUUGAUUACGACUCUAUUUUUAUCUAUGUUGACAGUGACAUGACACUGACAGCAGUCCCGGCGACCGGCGUAUGCGUUUAAAAAACUUUGUUAAUUGUUUACACGUUUGACUUUGGCUCCUUAGUUUGGAUUUAUUUGCCGGCUUAUCGAUUGGAAAUCGACAUCAUGGAUCUUUGUGUGAACUGUGGCAUAGAAAAGAAAAAGGAAAAAGCAACAACUAGUUGUAAUACCACAGGCAGACGAGUCUUGAAUGACGAAAUGAUUCUCUUAGUGAUUCGUCGAUGGCGUACACCGCAGCCUGUAAACAACAGUGACUAUAUUUGCUAAGCUUGCUGGAACAAACAUCAGCUAUUGAUCAACCAAGACAAUUUGGCCACCGUAAUGUUUGCCUCCGCUGUGGUCGCUCUCUUGCAUCUCAAGUCACUCAUCUGCUUCACACAGGCUCAUCUUGUGAACUGAGAAUUUAUAAUGCUAUAGAAGAAUGUAUUAUGCCUCGAACUAUAAAACAAGGAAGCCACAUCUGC